rnacentral:misc_RNA from 1 species
CGGUUAUCAGGAGUUGUUUCCAAGACUCGAAUAUGAGCCUUAAAGAAGGAAGUAAAAAACAGGGCGAGAUUCUGGAUAAAUGCCUGCUCAUCAUUGGAACCGUUCGCAUAAGCAUCCGGAAUAUUUGUUGCAGGCGGGAGAAUAGUCUGCAACUGCACCAUGAAAAUAGUGUACAUCUGGGCAAAUUGAGUAUCAUAAAAAUCACCAAACUGGAGACUAG